rfam:Penicillium griseofulvum strain PG3 contig_22, whole genome shotgun sequence.
AAGCAGCUCAAGUUAAAUUUUAAAUAAAUAAUAAGAGCGUACCUUUUGCAUAAUGGGUCAGCAAGUUAAUUUUAGAUGCAAGUAACAUCUCUUUUCUAAAAAUUAUACAUACUAAAUAUGUAAUAUUAUACAAAAAAUGAUUGCUAGUUACAUGUAAUUAAGAUAAUAUAUAUUUAGUAUUAAAUGUAUAAUUAUAUUAUUUAAAUUAAUGUAAAUUGAUUAUUUAAUAUUAUUAGAAAAAUUAGGAGAUAGAUACGCAGAUAAACCAAUUAUGAAAAAAUGAAUUAGUAUCUAGAAUUAGACCCGAAGGCUAGUGAUCUUACCAUGGUCAGGGUUAUAAAAGCCCGAACGGGUUAUCGUUGUAAAGAUAUCCGAUGAACUGUGGUAAGUUAGUGAAAGACAAAACUGACUAGUAUAGCUGGUUUUCCGCGAAACCUAUGUAAGUAGGUAAUUUAAUUAACAUCUUAGCAGGUACAGAACUGUGAUCUCGGACAAUAUCUAAGAUAUUUGUCAACAUCGGGGGGUUGUAGUGACUUUACCGGAGAGUAUUUGCACUCGGAAGGGCAAAGAUGAAUGUUAAAUAAUCGGACAUAGUGCGAUAAGGUUGUAUGUCUAAAGGGAAACAGCCCAGAACAAGAGUUAAGGUUCCAAAAUUAUUGUUAAGUGAAAUUAAGGAUGUUUUUUUUUAAAACAAUCAGGAAAUAGGCUUAGAAGCGGCCAUUUUUUGAAGACCUCGUAACAGAGCACUGAUUAAUAAAUUAGGAAAAAACGCCGAAAAUUUAACGGAUCUAAAUAAUAUACCGAAACCUUGUACACAAAGAAAUAUUAAAGCUUUAGUAGGAGCUUAUUGUUAUUAAUGAGUAAUUGUGGGGUAGCGGAACAUUGGAUUAAACAAAAUAUUAAUAUUUUUCUUAAAAUAUUAAAAAAAUCUCGAAUUAAUGCACAUUAAUGAACACAAUUGCAAUAGAUUGUGUUUUUAUCUACUAUAUGAGAAUCUGUUAAAUCCAAGAGAGAAUGCUGACAUGAGUAACGAAAAAGGCUUUUAGCCUCGCCUGAAGCUUAUGGUUUCAUCUAAAAUCGGUGUCUAAAAAAAUUAAUCAAAAGAUAAUUUUGAUGACGUUUUAUGUUUUUUUAUAUAAUAAUACCAAAACCUUUAACAAGUAAUAAAGGUUCUGGAAAAGUUUAUUCAUUAUUUGAAAUGAAAAGAAUUUAAUACUUAUACUUAUUGGUAUAAAAUUGUAUAUUAUUUUUAUCAUAGUACAUACUUUAUUAUGAUAUUGUGAUUUUACAAUUUUUAGUUUAAUGAGUAUUAUAAUAAAUGGAAUUUCAAAUAAUAGUCUUAAAUCUAUUCUUAUAAUAUUAGAGAUAAUAAUUAUUAAUAUUAUAAUAACCAUUAUAUUAUUCUUAAUUAAUAACCUUUAUAUUAUUAAUAGUAAUUACCACCAUCUAUUAAUAAUUAAUAACCUUUAUAUUAUUUAUUUUUUUAAUAACCUUUAUAUUAUUAAAUAGUAUUUUUAUAUUAAACGUUAUUAUUAAUAAUACUUAAAUUAAUAGAUUAAAGAUAACUUUAUACUGGUAAAAAAAAAGAAAAGUAAAAAAAUUACAAACUAUAUAACCGUACCUAGAAACUAACUCAAGUAAGCAAGUAGAGAAUACAAAGGCGUUUGAGAGAACAAUCAUUAAGGAACUCGGCAAAUUGACUCUGUACCUUCGGAAUAAGGAGGACCAUUAUUAUUAAAUUUAACAUAUAGUAAAGUAUGAAAUUAUAUAUGAAAAAAUUAAAUUAAUAAUAAGAGGAAUCAUGAAAUAAUGUUGUACGACUGUUUAAUAAAAACACAGCACUCUGCAAAGAUAAAAAAUCAAAGUAUUGAGUGUGAUGUCUGCCCAAUGUCGGCUGGGUAACGGAUCUACCUUGAUUAUUAACUGAGGUUUUGAAGGACACCCCGAUUAAUGGCGGCCUUACCUAUGAGGGUCCUAAGGUAGCGAAAUACCUUGGCCGUUAAAUGCGGUCCUGCAUGAAUGACUUAACGAUGCAACAGCUGUCUCGAUGAUUGUCUCAGUGAAAUUG